UUUAGCACCUAUGGUUUAGAGGUAUAGAUACCUGUAUAGGUUUGGAUGUCAGGGAUUGUGUAACGGCCGUUCCACAGCCUUUUCUUGCAGAAGACUGUCCUUGGUCAGCAACUUCAGCGAGAACUAUUCCCAGCAAGGCCUUGCUGGAUGAAACCAGAGUGACAUCAGAGACCAUGAUGGUGGAGCUUCGAGAUGGAAUCAGGCUGCUUUGAACAGGGUACCUCAUCUGUAUCCAUCUUUGAGGUAAGUUAUUUAUGGUUACACAUUUCACCUCGAGAGGCAGCCCAUGACUGACUGAUAUGGGGGUACAAAAGGCCAGCUGCUGGCUUUAAAGUGGGACCAAAGUUAUGCUGCACUUCAUCCUCCAGAACAACCCAGGGGAUCAGGCUGAGGCUUGUCUCCAGUGGGGACGACACCCAAGCUUAGCUUCUUCCUUGCCCCAUCCUGCUCCCUCCAUUCCCCUUCUCCCAAGACUUUCCUUCAA